rnacentral:lncRNA from 1 species
UAUAAAGAAAAAAUUAGGUGCUUUAAUUUUUUUAUUUAUGUAUUUUUUUUCUCUAACCAUUUUAUUUAAUAAUGAGUGUUUUUUUAGUUAGAGCUAGUGCAGAGAUGACAGAGGAAAUGUGUUGAGUGAGAGAGAUGAAGGAGAAAGGGUUGAGAGGAAUGAAGGAGGUGAAUAAGGGUUUGGGGUUUCUUUUUUUUUUUAUUUUGAGAAUAAAAAUUAAUAAAAUAAGACAAGUGAUUUUGAUUUUUUUCAAUUAGGGCUACAAUAGGGAUGACAGAGAAAAUGUUAGAGUGAAAGAGACGAAAGAGAAAGGUGGAGAGGAAUGAGAGAGGUGGAUAAGGGAUUGAGGGUUUCUUUUUUUAUUUUUUUAAUUUUGAGAAUGAAAAUUAUUAAAAUACCCUUAACCUUAAAACUUAGAAUUCAUUAUAUAUAGGGAUAUUUUUGUCUACUGAAACCCGGUACACAUUGCUAAAAUGUACCAACUGAAAAACAGGCGUACGCAAGUUAGCAAACCCCUAUAUAUAUAUAUAUAUAUAUAUAUAUGAGUUUGUUAAUGCGUGUACACCUAUUUUUUUCAGUUAGAACAUUUUAACAAUGUGUACGGGAUUAUAGUAGACAAAAAAAUACCCUUAUAUGUUAUGGAUUCUAAGUUUUAAAGUCAAUGAUAUUUAAAUAAUUUUCAUUCUCAAAACUAAAAAAAAAACUCCCAAACCUUUACUCACCUCCUUUAUUCCUCUCAACCCUUUCUCUUUCAUAUCUCUCACUCCAACAUUUUCUCUAUCAUCCUAUGCUAGAUCCAACUGAAAAAAAAAAUUAGAAAUACUCGUUGUUAAACAAUUUACCUCUGUAAAGAGUUGAGUCAUUGGC